CAAAUCACGGGCAGGAAGGAAGAGUACACUGCUGGCUCAUAACAAUGGCCUGGCUUUCUUUGAUCUGCGUUAAGUCCUUCCCAAUGUCAGGAGCCAAUAACUCACCUUUUGUAUGUGGGAUUAUCUCCUUUGUGCGCAUUAACUUUGUUGUAUUGUCGUUGUAUUUGCAAAGUCAAUGAGAAGAUAAUUAGUAUUGAGUAAUGUACUUUGAACUACCAUGAAAUGAUCAAGCUCAAGGAAUUUCGAGCAAAUGAUUUAGAAGGUUAAGUACUGUUACUUUGGGAAAUGCAAAACUAUUUUUCAAAAACCAAACUUUGCUUACAAUUUAAAAAGCGAUCUCGACAGUGUGUUAUGUGAAAUAUUAAUGGUGUGCUGGUUUCAAAUACAUACCAUCUAAACCAGUGUUUCUCUACCAGGGCCAGGGUGCAUCAAAAAAACUUCAAGGUGGGCUCAAAAUAAUUUAAAAUAAGACACAACAAGCAUUAAAAUAAGCAAAAACAACAAAGUAAAUUCAUAUAUUUUUUAGUUUUUGUGUUAAAUUUAUAAAGGACAUACAUCUUUCUAUUUAUACCAAGCUCUAGGUUAAACCGUCAGUGGAGGGCCUUCAAAUAUUAUUGUGUAUAAUGGAGGAGACUUGAAGUCAAUUAGACCCGCUGAUCUACACGCCUCUGAAUAUUUUGUAAUGUGACUUUAUAUUAUAGGUGUGUGGCCUCAAAAGGGAGAGAGGGCGGAUGAUGAAGGUGGAAGCAGUUAAUGUAAGUUAUUGGCCGCCCGGACCUCGAUUCUCACGGCAUCGGAGCUCUCGCCAUCUCACCAUUUCGGCAGCUUCUCCCUGACGGGUGCAACGUCUCUCUACUGGAAUCUUACAGGUCGAACUAUUCCCCGAGGACUGUUUUUCUGCCAUUGGUGCCGUGGACUAUUUGCUUUGCUCUUGCCUCACUGGUUUCAAUAAAGACCUUGUUACCCCCGCAUCUGAGUCUGCCCGUCUGUGUGCGUCAUGACACAAGGCUCCACCGUGCCAUAGAAAAAUUAUUUUUGGCUGAAUUAUUCCAUAGAACCAUUGACAUCUGAAGAUGUUAACACAAAAGUUUUUUAUAGUUCUUUAUACCAUGAAAAAUAAGAAAGAAAUGGUUCUUUGGGUAACCACAAUGGUCUCUUUUGUGGCAUCGCUGGUAAAC